UAGAUACCCUGUUAUUCCACAGCUGAAAUCCGUCACAAUACUGCCUGGGGACUACGAGGAGGCCUUAAAACCCGAGGGGCUUGGCGGUGCACUAUACUUACCAGGGGAACCUGGCCCUUAAUUCGAUGAUCCACGAACAUCUUACCUUUCCUUGUUUAAACAUGCCCCUAGGGGCAUGUUUCUAUCAGUUUGCAUACCGCCGUUUUCAGCCUGUGUCGUGAGAUAAAAGAAAUAGGCUAUCCAGCACUGUGAGCGUGGCCAGCUUGGCGAUCUCAUUGCUAAGAAUUCAGGUAAACGUGUAGCCAAUGGAAAGGGGGUGCUGGGUUACAAUUGAAGCUUGAAAUGGAGGGUGGCCUGAAUGGGCCAUCUGAAAGAGUACUUGGAAGUAAUGGCUUUGGACAAUGAAGCCGUGAAUCUCGCUCUGGUGCGUGUACAAAUCGCCCGUCAC
rnacentral:rRNA from 1 species